rnacentral:rRNA from 1 species
CCUACGGGAGGCAGCAGUGGGGAAUCUUCGGCAAUGGGCGCAAGCCUGACCGAGCGACGCCGCGUGGAGGAUGAAGGCCUUCGGGUUGUAAACUCCUUUUGCAGGGGACAAUGAUGAUGGUACCCUGCGAAUAAGCCACGGCUAACUCUGUGCCAGCAGCCGCGGUAAGACAGAGGUGGCGAGCGUUGUUCGGAUUUACUGGGCUUAAAGGGCGUGUAGGCGUUCUGAUAAGUUAGAUGUGGAAUCCCCGAGCUUAACUGGGGAAUUGCAUCUAAAACUGUCAGGAUUGAGUCAUACAUGGGAGGGCGAAAUUCCUGGUGUAGCGGUGAAAUGCGUAGAUAUCAGGAGGAAGGCCGGUGGCGAAGGCGGCCCUCUGGGUAAUGACUGACGCUGAGGCGCGAAAGCGGGGGGAGCAAACAGGAUUAGAUACCCUUGUAGU